rnacentral:rRNA from 1 species
UAAUACGGAGGGUGCAAACGUUGCUCGGAAUCACUGGGCGUAAAGCGCACGUAGGCGGCCUUGUAAGUUGGAUGUGAAAGCCCUGGGCUCAACCCAGGAAGUGCAUCCAAAACUGCAUGGCUUGAGUACCGGAGGGGUUCAGAGAAUUCCCGGUGUAGAGGUGAAAUUCGUAGAUAUCGGGAGGAAUACCAGUGGCGAAGGCGCUGAACUGGACGGUAACUGACGCUGAGGUGCGAAAGCGUGGGUAGCAAACAGGAUUAGAUACCCUGGUAGUCCACGCCGUAAACGAUGAGUGCUAGGCGGUGGGAGAUUUUGACCCUCUCGCUGUCGAAGCUAACGCGUUAAGCACUCCGCCUGGGGAGUACGGUCGCAAGACUA